UAAAAGUUUGAUUCUUGCUUAAAAAUUUAUUUGAAAUUUAUUAAUACAUGUAAAUUUUUGUGUGAAUAAAAUUAAUUUUUAAUAAAUUAUAAAUGUAUAUAUUCGCAGUAAUUAAUUUUAUAAAUUAUAGAAAUAUAGAUUUAGUAAUAUUUUAUAUUAUUAGCAAAAAUUGUGCCAGCAGCUGCGGUUAUACAAUUAAUUUAAAUAAAUAUUAUAAGUUAAUAGUUAAAUAUAAGAUUAGAGUAUAAAAUUGUAAUUUUAAGGUGAAAUUUAUUUUACGAUAAAAAUUUAUUUAAUAUGAUUGAAGCUAUAAAAAUUAAGUAAAAAACUAGGAUUAGAUACCCUAUUAUUUUAAUUAUAUUUAUAUACUUAAGUAGUAGUAGUUAUAUGCUUGAAACUUAAAGAAUUUGGCGGUAUUUUAAUCUUUUCAGAGGAACCUGUUCUGUAAUCGAUACUCCACGUUUAAUUUUACUAAAUUUUAUUAUUUGUAUAUCGUUGUCGUAAGAAUAUUUUUUAAGAAAAUAAAUUUUCUAAAAUUUAUAUUUAAAAUAAUGUCAAAUCAAGGUGCAGUUUAUAAUUUAGUAGAAAUGGGUUACAAUAAAAUUAUUUAAAUGAAUUUAUAUUUGUAAUAAUAUAAUGAAGGUGGAUUUGAAAGUAAAUUUAUUUUAAUAAAUUAAGUUGAUGAUAGUUCUAAAAUAUGUACAUAUUGCCCGUCGCUCUUUUUAUUUAAAAAAAGAUAAGUCGUAACAUAGUAGAUGUACUGGAAAGUGUAUCUAGAAAGA
rnacentral:ncRNA from 1 species